GUCCACGCCGUAAACGAUGCUAACUCGUUUUUGUGAUUCGUCAUGAGAGACUAAGCGAAAGUGAUAAGUUAGCCACCUGGGGAGUACGUUCGCAAGAAUGAAACUCAAAGGAAUUGACGGGGGCCCGCACAAGCGGUGGAUUAUGUGGUUUAAUUCGAUGAUACGCGAGGAACCUUACCAAGACUUAAAUGGGAGUGGACAGGCUUAGAAAUAGGCUCUCCUUCGGGCCGCUUCCAAGGUGCUGCAUGGUUGUCGU
rnacentral:rRNA from 1 species